rnacentral:rRNA from 1 species
GGCGACGAUCCCUAGCUGGUCUGAGAGGAUGAUCAGCCACACUGGAACUGAGACACGGUCCAGACUCCUACGGGAGGCAGCAGUGGGGAAUAUUGCACAAUGGGCGCAAGCCUGAUGCAGCCAUGCCGCGUGUGUGAAGAAGGCCUUCGGGUUGUAAAGCACUUUCAGUCGUGAGGAAGGUAGUGUAGUUAAUAGCUGCAUUAUUUGACGUUAGCGACAGAAGAAGCACCGGCUAACUCCGUGCCAGCAGCCGCGGUAAUACGGAGGGUGCGAGCGUUAAUCGGAAUUACUGGGCGUAAAGCGCAUGCAGGUGGUUUGUUAAGUCAGAUGUGAAAGCCCGGGGCUCAACCUCGGAAUUGCAUUUGAAACUGGCAGACUAGAGUACUGUAGAGGGGGGUAGAAUUUCAGGUGUAGCGGUGAAAUGCGUAGAGAUCUGAAGGAAUACCGGUGGCGAAGGCGGCCCCCUGGACAGAUACUGACACUCAGAUGCGAAAGCGUGGGGAGCAAACAGGAUUAGAUACCCUGGUAGUCCACGCCGUAAACGAUGUCUACUUGGAGGUUGUGGCCUUGAGCCGUGGCUUUCGGAGCUAACGCGUUAAGUAGACCGCCUGGGGAGUACGGUCGCAAGAUUAAAACUCAAAUGAAUUGACGGGGGCCCGCACAAGCGGUGGAGCAUGUGGUUUAAUUCGAUGCAACGCGAAGAACCUUACCUACUCUUGACAUCCAGAGAACUUUCCAGAGAUGGAUUGGUGCCUUCGGGAACUCUGAGACAGGUGCU